AGCGAACGCUGGCGGCAGGCUUAACUCAUGCAAGUCGAACGCCCCGCAAGGGGAGUGGCAGACGGGUGAGUAACACGCGGGAACGUACCCUUUGGUUCGGAAUAACUUGGGGAAACUCAAGCUAAUACCGGAUAAGCCCUUAUGGGGAAAGGUUUACUGCCGAAGGAUCGGCCCGCGUCUGAUUAGCUAGUUGGUGAGGUAAUGGCUCACCAAGGCGACGAUCAGUAGCUGGUCUGAGAGGAUGAUCAGCCACACUGGGACUGAGACACGGCCCAGACUCCUACGGGAGGCAGCAGUGGGGAAUAUUGGACAAGGGGGGCAACCCUGAUCCAGCCAUGCCGCGUGAGUGAUGAAGGCCUUAGGGUUGUAAAGCUCUUUUACCCGGGACGAUAAUGACUGUACCGGGAGAAUAAGCCCCGGCUAACUUCGUGCCAGCAGCCGCCGUAA
rnacentral:rRNA from 1 species